rfam:Asian citrus Psyllid, Diaphorina citri - Florida Strain, whole genome shotgun sequence.
ACCUCCAAAAAUACCACAUUUAAUGCACCAGCUCCCGAAGGAUCACUGAAGUUAAGCAACAUUGAGCGGAGUAUCCGGAUGGGUGACUAUCUGGGCAAUCGUGUGCUGUUGGCU